UGGGUUAGGUAAAUGUUUCAUGAUAAGAAUAUCAUGUCUUUUGUAUUAAAGAAUUAAAUGGAUGAAAUAUGAAGUUUUAUUAAAAGAAAAAGGGGUGAAAAGAACAAAGUUUUGUCCAUCUUUGUUCAUCAUAGCUGAAAGUUAGAGAAGAGAAGGAGAGGAGAAAGCUCUUGAGUAUUCGGUCAUUAGGAGGAGGAAAAUUGAAGGUGUGGUUGGCCGAAUAUUGUAAGGGGUUAAUACGUAGUUCGUAUUUGAAUAGUUAGAUUAACGUGUUAGUAAUCCAAUUGUAGACGGUUCGUGUGUGGAUCUCGUCAGCAUAUCGUCGCAAACAGGAAAUCCCCAACCAUAGUGGGCUUGGAGCUGUGAGGGAAUUCGGAGUGGCCACCCGUUCUGAAAGUUUGGGUUUCUUCUGGUGAACUAGACAUCCUUUUAUUUACGUUUGAAGUUUUGGGUUUUUAAAUGUAAUAAGGCCGCUUAAUUAUUUUUAAUGGUUUUAAUAUGUAUUACUAAGAUAGGUAUUACUUAUUUUAACUGUUGAAAUUGGAUAGCUUUAGGGCGCGUUUUCAAAAACAA